AUGGGGCAACAACACGAUACCCGGAGGUGCCUUGUGAAGUUCCUCAUUGCUCCAGAUUUCAGAGGCAGACGCUGCUUCAUGUACCCAGGACCUGUUUCAAAUUCAGCUGCUAAUUCAGGUCAGGAAGCUGAUCCAACUCAUCAUUCGUUGCACAAUGGCUGGAGCUGGCAGGACAGGGAACCGCAGCCAGAAACCGCAAAGCAGGUAACUUCAGUGCAUAACAGAAUGGUAACUCGAAAAGCCUUGAAAUUCACUGUGUUGAGGACAGUUUGGGACUACACAUUUCCCACAGGUAUGUUUUAGUUAAGACUAAAUACCACCAGAAGUUACGGUUCAGGAUCAAGAUCUUUUUUGAAAUCAAGAAACAAGAAAAGCUUGCUGUCAGCAACUGUGAGCACAGUUUAAAAUGUUUUCCAUCAUUACAACACUGCCCUCC
rnacentral:lncRNA from 1 species